CGGUAAUUCCAGCUCCAAUAGCGUAUACUAAAGUUGUUGCAGUUAAAAAGCUCGUAGUUGGAUUUCUGCGGGGACGGAGCGGCCGGACGCAACUUGCGUCUCGAGCUAGCGCUUUCCCCGCAUCCUGCCGCGAACCGUGCUACCAUUAGUUUGGUGGCGCUGGGGAUCGGCUCGAUUACUUUGAGAAAAAUAGAGUGUUCAAAGCAGGCCACACGCCUUGAAUAAGGUAGCAUGGAAUAAUGACUAAGGACUUUGGUUCUUUUCGUUGGUGUUCGGGACUGAAGUAAUGAUUGAUAGGGACAGUUGGGGCGGUCCGUAUUCCAAAGCGAGAGGUGAAAUUCUUAGACCUUCGGAAGACGAACAGCUGCGAAAGCGUUCCGCAAGGAUGUUCCCUUUGAUCAAGAACGAAAGUUGGGGGAUCGAAGACGAUCAGAUACCGUCGUAGUCUCAACUAUAAACUAUACCAGCUAGGGAUCGGCCAACGUUUAAUUAUUCGACUUGGUCGGCACCUUAUGAGAAAUCAAAGCAUCUGGGUUCCGGGGGGAGUAUGGUCGCAAGGCUGAAACUUAAAGGAAUUGACGGAAGGGCACCACCAGGCGUGGAGCCUGUGGCUUAAUUUGACUCAACACGGGAAAACUUACCAGGUCCAGACAUAGGAAGGAUUGACAGAUUGAUAGCUCUUUCUUGAUUCUGUGGGUGGUGGUGCAUGGCCGUUUUUAGUCGGUGAAGUGAUUUGUCUGCUUAAUUGCGUUAACGGACGAGACCCCAGCCUGCUAAAUAGCGCGGCCGAGCUUUGCUCGGUACGAGCUUCUUAGAGGGACCAUGAUGCGCGAUAGCACAAGGAAGUUUGGGGCAACAACAGGUCUGUGAUGCCCUUAGAUGUUCUGGGCCGCACACGGGCUACACUGGCGCCUGCAACGAGCAUAUCAGCUGGCCCGAGAGGGUCUUGGCUAAUCUUUGGAACCGGCGCCGUGCUUGGGAUUGACCAUUGCAAUUGUUGGUCAUGCAACGAGGAAUGCCUUGUAAACGCGAGUUAUCAGCUCGCAUUGAAUACGUCCCUGCCCCUUAUACACACCGCCC
rnacentral:rRNA from 1 species